rnacentral:rRNA from 1 species
AACGAACGCUGGCGGCGUGCCUUACACAUGCAAGUCGAACGUGAUUAGAGAGCUUGCUCUCUAUGAAAGGCGAGCACGGGAGAGUAACGCGUCGAUAUUCUAGCUGGUGAUUCGGGAUUACACUUCGACAGGGGUGCUAAUACCGGAUAAGCACACGGAGUACUUGGACACUGCGGGACCAUGCGCGGACCCACGGGCCGUCCGACAUCAGAUGAGUCCGCGUACCAUUAGCUAGUUGGUAGGGUAAAGGCCUACCAAGGCGACGAUGGUUAGCUGGUCUGAGAGGAUGAUCAGCCACACUGGAACUGAGACACGGUCCAGACUCCUACGGGAGGCAGCAGUGGGGAAUUUUGCGCAAUGGGGGAAACCCUGACGCAGCAACGCCGCGUGAGUGAUGAAGGCCCUUGGGUCGUAAAGCGCUGACAGAGGGAAAGAAAUGUGGGUGGCUAAUAUCCAUACCACUUGACGGUACCCUCAAAAUAAGCACCGGCUAACUCCGUGCCAGCAGCCGCAGUAAAAC